GUGUCGUGUUUCUUAUUUGAUGACUCGUAAAAAGAGUUUGUGCGAGUGUUCGUCUAUGGAUGACAUAUGCUUGAUCAAGCUUCGUCGAAGUGUCUCGUCGAUAAAGUUCUGUUGAUUUUGGAGAUGGCUGAUGGAUUUGAAGUUGAAGACGAACUCUCUUUCAGUGUCUAUGUGAGUAACACUGAGGAACCUUCUUUCUUUGUAAAAAAAAAAUGUGAUAUAACAGAGCCACAUCCAACACCAAGUGUCGAAAAUUCUCCGUCGGAUGGAGCCAAGGAGAAGGUUAUACAACAUUUAUGAAUAACGAUUAAUGUCAUUCGGUAUUUUCUGAUUUGUAUUUCAUUGGCUGUUCCUUUCAUAUUUUUAGGGCCUAUUUGACGACUUGAGAAAAAUAAUCGAAACGUCAGGAAGGCCCUCAACGGAAAGAACGGGAGUUGCAACAUAUUCAAUUUUUUCCGGAGGACACAAAUUUGAAUUCUGCCAUUGUAGCCGAUGCAUCCCGCGGGAUGAAACAACCAGGACUGAUUAUACUUGGAGUGGACCAAUUCUACCUUAAAUUAGAUGAGCAUGCAGUCAAACUUGGAGUUGGUUGCGUGUCAGAGGCCAUGGGAUAUGUUUUGGGGGCUUAUUUUGUGUUUAAUUGCUCAUAUCCGCCUCUGUGGCACAUGGUUUUUUGUUUUUUUUGGAAGAAGUUGUAAAUAUUCCUAAAGAACUUAGGAGCGUAAUAUCUUCAAUCACCAUUAGAAAUUUCGUGUCAAAACUUUCCAAAGUAUCUAAUUAGUUAGCAAUGUAUUAAGUUGGAACUGGGAAAAUACAAUGUCUUUGAGUAAAUUCA